rnacentral:lncRNA from 1 species
CCGGGUAGCGGCGCCGCUAACAGACCGCCGAACGGACCGGGGUUUCCCCUGUACGCGGACAGAGUCUCCCCUGUACGUUCUAGGCGUCACAAUCCAAACAAUACAACGAGUGUUCCAACUAGGAACGGAUAACAAUCCAGAUUGCAAAGGAAGUAUCAAAUACAUAAAACUAACAGCUAUUACAAGCAUUCAUUCACAUUCACUUAGUACACCUCAGUUCAGUUUACAUUUUUACUUCCAAUUACAAUCACAUUAUUACGUCAUUUAAUUUACAAGUUUGAUACGUCUUGG